rnacentral:ribozyme from 14 species
GAAGAAAGAAAAAAGAGUCGCUCACAAGGAAGUAAAAGUAAAAAAGUAGAGAUCCCGAAAUAAAUAUGGUGCUUCUUUUAAAUAUGGUGCUUCUUCUUUCACCCUUGCUUUC